UGAGGAAUAUUGGUCAAUGGGCGAGAGCCUGAACCAGCCAAGUAGCGUGCAGGAAGACGGCCCUAUGGGUUGUAAACUGCUUUUAUAGGGGAAUAAAGUGAGCCACGUGUGGUUUUUUGCAUGUACCCUAUGAAUAAGGACCGGCUAAUUCCGUGCCAGCAGCCGCGGUAAUACGGAAGGUCCGGGCGUUAUCCGGAUUUAUUGGGUUUAAAGGGAGCGUAGGCCGGAGAUUAAGCGUGUUGUGAAAUGUAGAUGCUCAACAUCUGAACUGCAGCGCGAACUGGUUUCCUUGAGUACGCAUAAAGUGGGCGGAAUUCGUGGUGUAGCGGUGAAAUGCUUAGAUAUCACGAAGAACUCCGAUUGCGAAGGCAGCUCACUGGGGCGCAACUGACGCUGAAGCUCGAAAGCGCGGGUAUCGAACAGG
rnacentral:rRNA from 1 species